rnacentral:lncRNA from 1 species
GCGACCGGGACAAAGGAACCGGCUGCGCGGGAGCGCGCCUGAGGGAGGCCGCGGGGGGCAGGGCCGGGACUGCGUUGAGACAGUCGCCGUGCCUCAGUUUCCUCCUCUGCGAAGGGCGGGAGGAGUCGGACGCGCCCUAGAGCCCCGCGCGUUCCUGGUGUAGCCUGCUGGGCCCGUGUUCUUUAAGUUCCUCUUCCUCGGAGCCGCGCGUUCGACCCUCGCUCCCGUUUGUCCACUGAUGUCCCGUUUCGAGCCCGGGAGAUCCUGCAUCUCGGAAGCCCCCUGAGUCCCGAGGCAAAUCGGGACCGUGAGCCCCCCUACCCUGCAGGGCUCCAUGGGGCCAAAAACCACGUGGUCCUUCUGGAAGGGAACUGGCUAAGCCAGGACUGCUUUUCUGGAGUGAUAAUGUGCUUGCCUGUGUCUAAGAGAAAGGUGAAGAAUUGGGAAACCCAUGGGUGUCACGAAGGGUGGUGAGACUGGGGAACGUUUUAGAAAACCUGGUGAGUUGCGUCCUGCUUUUGAUAGAUUUAUCUGGAGGUACCUUUAUGGGGAACAGGGAUGAGAAGGAAAAGUUUCUUCCUAAGGAGUACAGUUUCUGUUUCACCUCUUAAAAAAAAAAAAUUUGGAGAUUGGGGCUGGAAACAACGUUUGAAAGAGAAGGAAACAUUCAUUAUGAGAAUGGCUGAACGCAUGUCGAUUCGAUGAUUGAAGUCUGUACCAGCCAAAAUCAUACUGAAACCCAGUAAUUUAGUAUAUGCUACUGGCAAGCUGCUAUCCUGGUAGCAGAAAAUGCUGUGGGUUCCGCUUGGUGAGCUGCAGCACCCUGUUGGGAAAAGAGCUCAAAAAUUACCAGAUUUAUGAAAUAGAAGUGUUUCUCUUGCAGGAGAUUAGGGACUGGAAUGCCCAUUUGGCUGCUGCCAAUCAAUAUAAGAGAAAAUGAAGCGAUCACAUCUAAGAAAAUUUGCUCAUUACUUACCAGCAAAAUCAAAACUUGAUUAGCCAAUCUGAAGACCUCUAGGAAAUGAGCACUAUUUUUCCCACUUAAUGGAUGUUCAAGCUUAAGAGGCUAAAUGAUGUUCCUAUAUUAAUAUCUCAAUGGUCAAACUGCCAUUAGAACUCAACAUUCUUGAAUUUUAAAGGUAUCGGUUUUACCAUUGUUCAGAAUUCAUCAGAAUUGGCCCAGUCUCAGCACAGAAAACUGUAUAGUUCAAAAGCAUAAUUGGUCCGUGCCUGAUUUGCACUACAAUUUCCAGAAUUUUUUUCCCUGUACGUGACUGGUGGAGGCACUAGCUAGUCUUUGCUACAAGAACAUUAUGAGAUUUACAUAUGCACAACUCUAAACUAAAUUAGUUCCUCCAGGACAAUUUACUGAGCUUUUUAACACCACCGUCAAGCACUGUUGCAAGGACAGAUAAUAGGGGCUCAGAUAAUAUCUGAUAAAUGAAUAAAUGGGUCCUUUUGCUCUCCCAGGACUGGGCUAGAGCACUUGACUAAACUGAUGUGUGAGGUAGCAAUUUGUGUACAGAAGUCAUGAGUUUUGAGGAAAAAGAAAUUAAAGAAACAUGUUCUCUAAAAACUGCAGUCAUUGGUCAAGAAUACGAGUCUACUUGUGAUUUCAUACAAAUAAUGGGUGGACAGUGAGCUAUGAAAUUUAUGAAUACUCUAAGCAAAGGUUGGUCAGCAUACGUGCUAAACAGGAAAUCCUGAUAAGUAGGAAUAGUGCAAGCCACACUGCAACUUUUAUCAUAUUAGGUUGGUGCAAGGUCUACCAGAUGUGUCUUGCCUUCCCAUGUGUAAGGUCAACCAGAUAGCUCUCACCUUUCCAUGUCUAAGGUCAACCAGGGGGUGCUUGCCUUCCCGUGUCUAAGGUCGACCAGAUGGCUGUGUGCACCAACCUAAUAGAACAUCAUAAGUAUCUUGAGUUCAAGAUAAAUCCAUACCUUACCUACACUGUCUCCCAAUUAUUAUCAAUUGUCUUCUGCCAUCUCUUAAGUCAUUAUUAUGUCAAAUAAUUAAAGUCGGUGUUUCCUUUAGUUUUGUCACUGGUGAUACUACUACUUGCUCUUCAAAAUGUAUCUUUAUUCAUCUAACAUUUUGCAAAGUAAAGUUUCAAAGUUGUUCAGCAAGAAAGACAUUAUUGGAUGCCCAGGUUUGUAUUAGUUUGACUUAUAUUAUUAUUAAUUAGCACCCCUUUUAACUCUCAAAAGUAUGUCCUAGUAUAGAUGAUAAUUUAUAUGAUCACUCUAUAAAUAAGAGUGUCCAGAUAAUAAGGAAUAAGAAGAAUAAUUUUAGAAAUUCAAAGGGGAUUCAUAAGGAUAUAUUGCAAAUCAGGUUCCAGGUUUAUAGGUGAAGACUAAUUUCAACAUUGGUGAUAAUAAGGGGAAAAUGAGUUGCAGCGUGGGGGUGAGUAUGAAGAAUUAGGCAGUUGCUAUGUGAUGAAAAUGCCCUACUAGGAGAUUUUAUUAAGAAAAAAAUCUUAUUUUUUUUCUUAAUAACAGUACCCUGGCUGAUAAAUGGGACUUGGAUUUUAAAUACCAUUGGAUAAUAAAUGUAUGUGAUGGCUUUGGAGCAAAUUGAUUGACAAUGGCUAGGUAAGACUUCAGCCACUUUUCUAAGGACUGUUUCUAUAGACUAACCUAGAUAUAUUUUUCUCAUCCGUCACUUCCAGUUACUUUGAAUGUAACUCCUUCUGUAAACAUUAAAAAAGAAAAAGAUGAAGGGAUAGGGAUGGAAGGAAUAGAGGUCUCUGAUAACAUCCUAUAAUACUAACAUAGAAGUGCUUCUGAAUCAUAAAUAACUCCAUUCCUUUCCCUGAGAAACUAAAAUCACUGUUUUAAAAUGUGAAUCUGCUACUCAGGAGGCUGAGGCGGGAGAAGUGCUGGAGACCAGGAGUUCGAGACCAGACUGAACAACGUAGUGAGACCACCCCCGCCCCCGACCCCCAGCCCCAACUAAAAAAUAAGGACUAAAAUUAGCCAGGUGUGGUGGUGCAUGUGUGUAGUCCCAGCUGCUCAGGAGGCUGAGGCAGGAGGAUCACUUGAGCCCAGGAGCUAUGAUCAUGCCACCAUAGUCCAGCCUGGGCAACACAGUGAGACCCAUCUCUAAAAAUGUGAAUCUGUGUGUAUUGGUGUAAAGCAACCCUGGGAAUUAUUGACAUUUUGAAAAACAAGAAGGGGUGAGACAGUCCUGCCAGUUCCUCCUUUUUCAGUCUCCAUAUGUAUAAAUAACAUGCAAAUAGUCAUAUAACGCAGAGAAACUGGAAGUGUAUUGAAUUUGCAACUUUUUUUUUUUUUUUUUUUUUUUUUUUUUUUGCUUGAGGGCUUCCAUUUAGUGAGCACUCCUCAGUACUCACAGCAGAGUAUUGCCAGAGGAACUGUAAAAAAUUAAGUUUGCUAUCAGGCAACCAGCAAUUGACUAGGUAUGGCAUGUAUCAGUGUAUCCACCAGGCGGUACUGAGGCUUCAUUUCUUUGCUUAUUUGAAAAUAAGGUGGAAAAUGGCACAACAGCCUGACCUGAUUUGCAAUGUGUCCCUUAGAGCUUAGGCUAGCCAUUCAGUCUUUUCCUUUUCUAGGUAACUAACAGUGGCUGGACUAUGGCUUUGAAUAUGGGUCACAGAUGAGUAAGCCUUCCUCAACUGGUUCUGCUUCCUGUUUUCCAUAUAUAGGGGCCCCAUUUUUUCCUUUUCAAGUCCACACAGCAUUGCCUCCAAUGGGUGUGAGCAUUCCUUACCAGCAUUCAGAUGCUGAACAUUUUUAACAGCCUACGGGAAACAGUGUUUUAGGCAGCUCUUUUCAAACACUGAGUUUCUUCAGCUGUGGAAGAGAAUGUCCUUCCCAAAUAAGAAUUAAAAAAAAUGCCCAAUAUAAGCAAUUGAAUAGCACUGGAGUUAUUUUUAGGAACCAGGGUCACUCACUACAGGAAAUGAUCGUGUUGCCAAUGCGUUAAAGCUAGUGACUUUAAAAAAUAUUAUUUAUUUUCUCAUUUAACUGCAUCUCGAGGAAAGUUAGCAGUUGCAAUUUUAAGUUAGGAACUUCUCAAUUUCAGGCCAGAUUCAUUAGGGAGUAGGAAGGAUACCUUUCACUUAAAAAAAGGCAUUUGGGCUAAGUAAGAACACCUCCCCUGCAACUCCCUCCCGCCCUCCCGCACAACACUCAAAUUAAUCCCCACAACAUAUUAUCUUAGGCAGAGUUCUUGCCUCAUGCCUAUGAAUGGGAUGUCAUGAAACCCCUAAAAUUCUAGACAGAAUUUUACUUACACAUAUAUAUCUGCAUUGUUGUGGUUUGAAUGAGAUCUUAACCACAAAACAUUAAGAAUAACUAUUUUAAGCACUUACACGAUUAGUUCUUUUAUAGACUACCUGCCUAAACAAAUGUCAUUGUGGUUGCCUUGGAACUGUGAGUCGUAUAUUGAUUAGUUUAAUCAAAAACAAUAUUUAAAACAUCAGAUAGUGCUUCCAAAUAUUUUCUUAUGACAUGAUUUUCACUGCAUGUUAUUUAACCUGCAAGAGGUAGAACAGAAAAAGCAGAAUCUUUCGUGAUCAAACCGCACAACUAAAGAGUGUGCUGUUUAUGUCUACUUUUCAAGGUAAGAUAAACUUCAAAGAGAAAUGAACUUUUAAUUUCAAAUUCCAAUUUACAUAUUAGGACUUAAAUGACUUCAAAUCAUAUCUAAAAAUCACCAUAACCAAACCAUUGUAAAUUUUUACUUACAUUGAGAAUAAAAAUAAAUAAAUGUUAAGUAUAUUUCCUAAUAAUAUUUGCCAUGCAGCAUUUGGAAGAACAAGUCCUGUGACGCUUCUACUUUAAGAUUUCUGCAUUGUUGUUGGCUGAUGUCAUAGACUGUUCCUCUAUGAUCACAAGAAUUCCCUAUUUAGAACUGCAUAUGGGUGCCCGUUGGGUAACGUUUCAAGUUGAAAGAAUUUUGCAUUUUGUGUUAUUGUACUAGAAUGAAAUAAUCUUAAUCUGAAAAGUUUUGAUGGUUAAACUCUUUAAUAUUUUUGUAUUCCUGACUAUUUUCUUCAUUUAGCUAAGUUUACACUGAAGUCCUUAAUUACCCUUCUCCUUUUAUGAUAAAAAUAACAUCCUUCAUUAUCUAUAAUUUUCCAGUGGCUUCCACAUGCCAAAAACGUCAACUACACAAUUUUUCUCUUAUAGUCAGAACACUGGCUUGUGGAAAUGAAGCACUUCAUUCGAAAUUUCACCAGUAAAUGUUGUUGAUGUGUGAUCUCUAGCUUACAGAAUAGAUGGAACUGCAUUCUUACAUUUAAACAAUUAUCCUCUGAUUAAAUAAAUUCAAAUACAUCUAAGGAAUAGAAUAAUUAUCAGUUUUAAAUAAAAAUUAGUUAGACAAGUUUAACAAGAUGCCCAAUGCGUUGCAGUACAUAAUCCUUUUUGUGAAGUUUUUUUUUUUUUUUUUUUAAAGACGAAUUCUUGCUCUUGUCAUCCAGGCUGGAGUGUAAUGGCGCGAUCUUGGCUCACUCUGCCUCCCAGAUUCAAACGAUUCUCCUGCCUCGGCCUCCCGAACAGCUGGGAUUACAGGCGCCCACCACCAUGCCUGGCUUUUUUUCGUAUUUUUAGUAGAGAUGGGUUUUUGCCAUGUUGGCCAGGCUGGUCAACAAAGUAAUUUUGAUAGUAUCCACAUUUGACCGGGCGCAGUGGCUCACGCUUGUAAUUCCAGCACUUUGGGAGGCUGAGGCGGA